rnacentral:rRNA from 1 species
CCUACGGGAGACAGCAGUGAGGAAUAUUGGUCAAUGGGCGCGAGCCUGAACCAGCCAAGUCGCGUGAGGGAAGACGGUCCUAUGGAUUGUAAACCUCUUUUGUCGGGGAGCAAAAGACGCCACGCGUGGCGUUCCGAGAGUACCCGAAGAAAAAGCAUCGGCUAACUCCGUGCCAGCAGCCGCGGUAAUACGGAGGAUGCGAGCGUUAUUCGGAGUUAUUGGGUUUAAAGGGUGCGCAGGCGGAAGAUCAAGUCAGCGGUAAAAUUGAGAGGCUCAACCUCUGCGAGCCGUUGAAACUGGUUUUCUUGAGUGAGCGAGAGGUAUGCGGAAUGCGUGGUGUAGCGGUGAAAUGCAUAGAUAUCACGAAGAACUCCGAUUGCGAAGGCAGCAUACCGGCGCUCAACUGACGCUCAUGCACGAAAGUGUGGGUAGCGAACAGGAUUAGAUACCCCAGUAGUC